UACGGAGGGUGCGAGCGUUAAUCGGAAUUACUGGGCGUAAAGGGUGCGUAGGUGGUUUAGUAAGAUAUAUGUGAAGUCCCUGGGCUCAACCUGGGAAGGUCAUAUAAGACUGCUAGACUCGAGUAUGGGAGAGGGUAGUGGAAUUUCCGGUGUAGCGGUGAAAUGCGUAGAGAUCGGAAGGAACACCAGUGGCGAAGGCGGCUACCUGGCCUAAUACUGACACUGAGGCACGAAAGCGUGGGGAGCAAACAGGAUUAGAUACCCGGGUA
rnacentral:rRNA from 1 species